rnacentral:rRNA from 1 species
GUGGCGGACGGGUGAGUAACACGUGGGAACGUGCCUUUUGGUUCGGAAUAGCUYCCUGGAAACGGGUGGUAAUGCCGAAUGUGCCCUUUGGGGGAAAGAUUUAUCGCCAUUAGAGCGGCCCGCGUCUGAUUAGCUAGUUGGUGAGGUAAAGGCUCACCAAGGCGACGAUCAGUAGCUGGUCUGAGAGGAUGACCAGCCACAUUGGGACUGAGACACGGCCCAAACUCCUACGGGAGGCAGCAGUGGGGAAUCUUGCGCAAUGGGCGAAAGCCUGACGCAGCCAUGCCGCGUGAAUGAUGAAGGUCUUAGGAUUGUAAAAUUCUUUCACCGGGGACGAUAAUGACGGUACCCGGAGAAGAAGCCCCGGCUAACUUCGUGCC